ACGUAGGGUGCGAGCGUUAAUCGGAAUUAAUGGGCGUAAAGCGUGCGCAGGCGGUUUUGUAAGACAGGUGUGAAAACCCCGGGCUCAACCUGGGAACUGCAUUUGUGACUGCAAGACUAGAGUACGGUAGAGGGGGAUGGAAUUCCGCGUGUAGCAGUGAAAUGCGUAGAUAUGCGGAGGAACACCGAUGGCGAAGGCAAUCCCCUGGACCUGUACUGACGCUCAUGCACGAAAGCGUGGGGAGCAAACAGG
rnacentral:rRNA from 1 species